GGCGAGAGGGAGGCAACAAGAAGCAGGUUUUUUUUGCACCCAGAUGGUGAUCAGAUACAUCGAGUUUAAGUGUGUUUCCUUGCGCUUUUUUUUGCACACAGAUGGUGAUCAGAUACAUCGAGUUCAAGUGUGUUUCCUUGAGCUUAUGGUUUUAUUUCUACGGAGAUGUGAUGCUUGCUUCUCUAGAACAUGUCUUUUUGUGUUGUACACAGUUUCAGACACAUUAACAUAUCCCUUACUUUUUUUUUUGGUCAACUAACAUAUCCAUGACUGAUGAAGAAAAAAAAAAAGU
rnacentral:lncRNA from 1 species